CCUACGGGAGGCAGCAGUGGGGAAUAUUGGACAAUGGGCGCAAGCCUGAUCCAGCAAUGCCGCGUGAGUGAUGAAGGCCUUAGGGUCGUAAAGCUCUUUUACCAGGGAUGAUAAUGACAGUACCUGGAGAAUAAGCUCCGGCUAACUCCGUGCCAGCAGCCGCGGUAAUACGGAGGGAGCUAGCGUUGUUCGGAAUUACUGGGCGUAAAGCGUACGUAGGCGGUUAUUCAAGUCAGAGGUGAAAGCCCGGGGCUCAACCCCGGAACGGCCUUUGAAACUAGGUAGCUAGAAUCUUGGAGAGGUCAGUGGAAUUCCGAGUGUAGAGGUGAAAUUCGUAGAUAUUCGGAAGAACACCAGUGGCGAAGGCGACUGACUGGACAAGUAUUGACGCUGAGGUACGAAAGCGUGGGGAGCAAACAGGAUUAGAUACCCUGGUAGUCCACGCCGUAAACGAUGAUAACUAGCUGUCCGGGCACUUGGUGCCGUGGGUGGUCGCGAGACUACGACAUUAAGUUACUACCGUCCGUCGGGUAGGUACGGUCGCGAGAUAAACUAACAAGAAGUAGACGCGUGAGACGCGACGACGACGACGACGAGGAGAG
rnacentral:rRNA from 1 species